GCGUGGGCUUGGGCGUCGGCUCCUCGCCGUCCGGGACGUUCUCCCGGUCGGGCCAUGGCCGGUCGGCCGGAUCGUCUCCGGCGCUCUCGUU
rnacentral:tRNA from 1 species